rnacentral:rRNA from 1 species
GACGAACGCUGGCGGCGUGCUUAACACAUGCAAGUCGAACGGAAAGGCCCUGCUUUUGUGGGGUGCUCGAGUGGCGAACGGGUGAGUAACACGUGAGUAACCUGCCUUUGACUUUGGGAUAACUUCAGGAAACUGGGGCUAAUACCGGAUAGGAGCUCCUGCUGCAUGGUGGGGGUUGGAAAGUUUCGGCGGUUGGGGAUGGACUCGCGGCUUAUCAGCUUGUUGGUGGGGUAGUGGCUUACCAAGGCUUUGACGGGUAGCCGGCCUGAGAGGGUGACCGGCCACAUUGGGACUGAGAUACGGCCCAGACUCCUACGGGAGGCAGCAGUGGGGAAUAUUGCACAAUGGGCGGAAGCCUGAUGCAGCAAUGCCGCGUGCGGGAUGACGGCCUUCGGGUUGUAAACCGCUUUCGCCUGUGACGAAGCGUGAGUGACGGUAAUGGGUAAAGAAGCACCGGCUAACUACGUG